GUGGGCUAUGGUGACAUGACGCCAAAAACUUAUUUAGGAAUGUUUGUUGGAUCAAUUUGCGCUCUAACUGGUGUCCUCACUAUUGCACUUCCAGUUCCAGUCAUUGUUGGCAAC
rfam:Helobdella robusta unplaced genomic scaffold HELROscaffold_1, whole genome shotgun sequence.